rnacentral:lncRNA from 1 species
UUCUACUUCUGCAUGCCCUUGGUGUGCACUGCAAUCUUCUACACCCUCAUGACCUGCGAGAUGUUAAACCGGAGGAAUGGCAGCUUGAGAAUUGCCCUCAGUGAACAUCUUAAGCAGUCAUGCCUCUGUUGCUGCUGUCACCAGUCCAAAAGCCUGAUGACCUCAGUCCCCAUGAAUGGAACGAGCAUCCAGUGGAAAAACCAUGACCGAAACAACCACCACACGGAGGGGAGCAGCCAUAAGGACAGCAUUAACUAACAUCUAAUGAAGCAUCCAUCAACAUGCCUUCAAAUCCUGUUGGAGAAAAACACCAUCACACUGCAGCUGUGUCUCCGGAAACCUCUGAUCCUUCCUCCAUAACUCAGUAGCACCCUUGUGGGGAGCAAAAUGUUCCGAUGUGUUUCCAAAACAAUGGAGAGUGAAAUGUUUUAUACCCACAAAAUCCAUGAAUCUUACUUGUUUUUGUGUAAUUUACAUAGUUUGCAUGCUGUACGCAAGACUAAAAAUGGUGGGAAUUAGUGGAGAAUGGAGACUGUUAAAUGAAAUUAGAAGGAUUUUGCUACUUUUGCAUGAAAAUAGUUUAAAAGUACAUGGCUAGCUUUCAUGACAGUUCUGUUGCAUGUUCCAUGGAACUGAUCACCACUGAAGUUUAGAGAUUAUGACAAGAUUUUGUUUUUUAAGUCCUUUUGGGGAGCAGCCAAACAGCAUGGGUUUAAAGUCACUUUUCUUUAAAAUGCCAUUCAGUGCCAGUAUUUUUUUAACCACAUACUAGCCUAUAAAUGAUUAUUUGAGCUAACUUACACAUAUCUUAAUUAAAAAACAAUAUUCAGAUGAGCUAUUAGUCUGUUCCUUAUGUCACUGUUUUAAGAUAUAGACUCAAAACAGCAAAAAAAUAGGUACUCAAAACACAGACUGAUAACAUAUAGCAACUUAAUAGCUGCUAAUCAAAAAAUGUUGAAAGCCUGUAUUUUCUUUUUUCAUGAUGUAGUGGUAUAGAUCAUGAACAUAUUUUUGUGUUAAAUUCCAAAGUAAUGCUUGGAUGAAAUAGUUCUGUUUUUCACAAACCCAGUCUUUUUAAUGUAAAUUUUAAAGUAUAAAAACCAUGUUCAAAACUCAAAUUAAUGUGGCAUUUAACUCUGCCUGACACUGUCAGUGCAAUGUAUAGAAGUCUAAAGCACUUGUAAGUGAAAAAGACUGGACAGAGGAUUUGGAAAUUUUCAUUGAGUUUUUGUAAUAGUACUAUAUAUACCUUUGUAUUUUAUCUUUUAAAUAUCUCGCAACAAGUUAACUGGCUUUAAGACAUUUUUGGUCAUUCUUUUCUCGGAGAAAGCAGCAUAAUUUCAAAGUGGGCAGAUGAGUUUGUCAUGUCAGUGAGAUACAGUUACUCUCACCAUUAAAUUUUGGUUCUUCUUUGGGUCUCUGGUAUGAACCUAAAUUCUCACCUCACAUGAUCACAAUUUCAAAGGGCCCACAGUGACUUUUGCUGGGCAUUUUCCCAAAUGUUUACAGACUGUGAGUACAAAAAAAUGUUACUCUGUAUGUGUGUGUAUUUGUAAAUAUGUAUAUAAACAGCUGUAAAUUCCUUUUAACCAAUUUUUUGUGAUUGUAUGUGAUAUAUGCACACGUGUGAAAGUAUGUAUGACUGAACCUCAUAAUGCCCUGUGAUUGUGCCAAGGUGCACACUGUGUAGAAUCUAGGUGACUGUUCAUCGAAAAAACUGCCUUGGUCACUUUUCACAUAUUAGGAUCUGCUGUGUUCAGAAAUCCUGUGACCAUGUUACCACUGCAAAUAAAACAUGGAAGCAGCAUGCAAGGGAAUGAGCCCUGUGUUCAUACAAUGCAGGGUUUUGUUUGGUUGGUUUGGCAAAGCAGUAUUUGGGGUCAUAUUGCUCCUUAUGCUGGAACAACAGACACCGCAUUUUAAAGUAUUAUAUUGUUCUAAUGUCAACUCAGUGUGGUGAUGAGAUUGACAAGUCACCUGAUGUUUCUAAUUUAUUGGGUAGUAUUUUAGCACAAUCACGAGUGAAAUAUAUGAGCUUCCAGUUGCUUUCACUGCAGGGUUAAAGAAUACUGCUCCCUUGUCUCUUUGUCAGAUUCAAUUAUGCCACUGGUACAUCAUAUGCAGUGACAUUUGCCUAUAAUAUAAGCCAUAGGUCCACACCAUUUUGUUUGGACAGUUGUCUUUUUUUUUAAGAUGCUUUGUUUCUUACAUAUAAAAAAAGCAUUGUAUAAAUUCAGAAAGUCAUACAUUUCUGAGUAACUACAUAAGCCUCCAUGUGCAUUUUGUUUAUGGACUGGUAAGUAACAAUGGUUUACUAGUAGGAAUAUUUCCAAUUUCUACCUUCACCACAUCUUUUCAACAAGUAACUUUGUAGAAAUGAGCCAUAAGCUAAGGCCCUGGGUUGGCAGUGGCCCAUGAAUAUAAAAUAAAACUUUAUGGAAGUUUUGCAAGUGUCUCUUGAUUUUACAUAGUUCUUCAUUAACCAAGUCCAUUACAUAAUACCUGUUGUAAAUCUCUCAUUAGUACUAACCAGGCAAGAAAUUUUACUUUCAGAUAGUUUCUCGUGCUACUCUAGUCUCGAUCAACCUACUAUGUUGAACUGAAUAUUUAGCUCUAUCAGCCACUCUUUUAUUUUACCUUUUUCAGUACAUUGUGAGCAUUUACUAUGGACCAGCCAUUCUUCUAGUUAAUUGAGAGAUAGCAGCGAACAAAACAGGAAAGGUUGGCUACCUCAUGGAGCCUGCUUUCCAGAGAAAGGAGUUAGGCAAUAAGGAAUUACAGUCAAUGAAUAUUAUUUUAGAUGGAUAUCCUGAGGAAGGCACUCAUCUAUAUUCAGACUGCUUACUUGACCUCUCCAGUUGGACGGCUAGUUGACCAUAAUAUGUUCAAAACGGAGCUCUUGAUAUCUUCCAACCCAUGCUACCAUGAUAACAUUCUGUUCAGUUAAAUACAAGACCAUCCUUUAAGACAAAAACUUCAAAGUGAUUUCUCAUUCUUUUCUCUCACUCCUUACACCCUGUGUCUCAAUAAAUCCAGAAAGCCCUAUCUUCAGAACAUUCCCAGCACUGUACCAUUUCUCUGUCUCUAUGUCUCCCUCUUUAGUCUGUACACCAUUGUCUUUUGCCAGAAUAAUUACAAUGGGCUUCUAUCAUCCCUGUUUCUUUCCAGCCUUGUAAAGAGCCAUUCUCUCCUUGGACCCUGUCUAUCCUCUCUUAUGAUGGAAAAGUUGUGAGCCUGAAAAUUGCUGUCCACUGUGGUUUGGGAAUUGUGAAGAAAGUCCAUGUGAACUGUCACAAAGAUUUAAAAAAAAAGAAGACCAAUUAAGUUCCUGUUCCAGUUUUCCUUGAUGCUUUCCCAUAGCUUAAGUCAACAAACCAACACAUUUACUUUUUUGCCUCUGCUAGUUAAAUUUAGCUUCCUUUGCUUAUGAGAUGCAUUAUAAGACCAUCUCAUCUAAGUUAUAUCAAUUCAUCUUAUGUUGUUGUUAGAGCAGUUUUAAGUUUACAGAAAAAAAUGACCCAAAAUUGUAGAGUGCUUCCACAUGUCCUCUUUCCUCUCCACUUCACACUUCCUGUCCCCUAUUAUUUUAUCUUGCAUCAAUGUGGUAAGUUUGUCACAGUUAAUGAACCAAUGUUAAUGCAAUACUAUUGCUAAAGCCUAUAAAGCAAUAUUCCUUUGUGCUCUACGUCUACAGAUUUUGGAAGCUGUAUUGUGUCAUGUACCCACCACUACCAAUUCAGGAAACUUCCACUGACCUAAUAAUCCCUGCGCUCCACCAUUCAUUCCUCUCUCCCUCUAUCAGUGAACACAGUGUGAGGCCCUUUCGUCUAUGACUCUCGGUAUAAAUAUUCAGUCACUACCAAAAGAAUGGCAUAGUAAUAAGCAACACAGUAUUGCCUCUACAUUGUAAGGUUUCCGGCAAAGGUCACUAAAUGUUAUUUUCUACUCAAAAAUAUAACUACUUGGGGGCUUAGUGAUGAAAGGUAAAGUGCUUGCUUAGCACCUGGGAAGCCUUGGGUUCAAUCCCUAAGCACCGCAUAAAUAAAUAGAUAACAUCUAUCCAAUAAGUUUUAAAUUAUUAAGGUAAUGAAACAAUUUUGAGACUAAGUCUAGGAAAUAGCCAAAACCACUGUGAGUCUUUGGCUGAUCUGUCACUGCUAUUGUUUUUCAUAGUUUUAUUGUUCUUUGUUAUAAUAUUCAAAACUCAGUGGAGUAGAGAGAAUGCACCGUCAAUUAAAAACUUUCCAAACUUGUGACUCCAAGGCUUAUAUUCCUUUAUUUGCAAAAAUAACCCAGUGGAGCACCGUCUUCAUUGAUUUCACGCCAUACUUCAAACAAGCAAAGUUAAAUCAGAGUAUCAGUCUACCACAGACACUUGAUGUUCUGAUAUCACAGUGAAAAAUUCCAUUGUUUUUUAAAGUAAUCCUUGGAAAAGCUUCUAUCAUACUUUCCUCCAAGUAGUAACAAAGACACCCACUGUCUAUAUUUGGUUAGCACUAACUCUGAUGUUUUUUGUUUCUGGACAAAGCCAGAACCCGUAACAUCUCCAAGUCUCCUAAGCUUUUAGCAUCGGUGUUAUUCAGUAGAGUCUAUCAACUAUGUUUCUUCCUGGGGGUAAUAAAUGAAGAACAGCAAUGUUAACUCUAAAUAUAAUUAGAAGAGUCAUGGAAUCUUCCUAGGGGAACAUAGGGAAUUCCAUGAAUU